rnacentral:rRNA from 1 species
CCUACGGGAGGCAGCAGUGAGGAAUAUUGGUCAAUGGACGCAAGUCUGAACCAGCCAUGCCGCGUGCAGGAAGACGGCUCUAUGAGUUGUAAACUGCUUUUGUACGAGGGUAAACGCAGAUACGCGUAUCUGUCUGAACGUAUCGUACGAAUAAGGAUCGGCUAACUCCGUGACAGCAGCCGCGGCAAUACGGAGGAUUCAAGCGUUAUCCGGAUUUGUUGGGUUUAAAGGGUGCGUAGGCGGGCGUAUAAGUUAGAGGUGAAAUCCCGAGGCUCAACUUCGGAAUUGCCUUUGAUACUGUUCGGCUAGAGAUUAGUUGCGGUAGGCGGAAUGUAUGGUGUAGCGGUGAAAUGCUUAGAGAUCAUACAGAACACCGAUGGCGAAGGCAGCUUACCAAGCUACUUCUGACGUUGAGGCACGAAAGCGUGGGGAGCAAACAGGAUUAGAUACCCCGGUAGUC